UUUCCUCUUCCCAUCGCAUAAUUGGGUUACCAAUCCAAAUCCUCUUCAAUAGGAGUGGAUAAAGAAGACAGAUUGAUUUGGCAGGGUAACGGAGUAUUAGUUCGUCGUGUGGAGAGCGAGAUCUCGCGUUUGUGAUGCCGCCUCAUCGGAAAUCGAUGCAUCGCAUAUAACAACAAUUAUCCUCUUUCCUAUCUCUUUGCCAUUGGCUGCUCCCUCCGUCAAAGCCGACAGAUCGAACGUCUUGCACGAACUUCGACUGACCUAACUCUCAUGAUUGUUUAUGAGCUCAUUUACCCAAGCUGUGCUUUGUGGGUGCGUGUGUGUGUGUUUAUGCUGCGUGCCACUUGAUUAUUUUUUUUUCACCUUUAGUGGGUUAGGGAGUAAUAAUAACAACACCAAUAAAUAAAUAUUAGUAUUUUGUCCUGUUUUCCUUUAUUAUAUCUCUGCAUUGUUCUGAGUUUCUUGUAGGUGAUCGUGCUGGUUGUCUAAUGUGGUCUAUGAAUUCAUAUAUAUAUAUAUAUAUAUGACGCUUCGUAACAAUCGCGUUGUGUCAGCAAGUGAAUUUGAAGGUAGCACAAUAUCGCCUUUUCUUCUCACAUGAUAUCGUUUGGUUAUCAGAAUUCACUUUAUGGUAGCACUGCGUUUACCAUGCGAACAGCACCAGCGACAUGCAGCUCAUUUUCAAACCUCAAAGUGCCAUUUGAUGGAGCGAAGGUGUGAGGCGCCUAUUCUUCGUCACUUUUUAAAAAUAACCUUCCUAGAUGUUGCAGCAAAGCGGUGGGAAAGAACUAACGUCUCUGUCUAGAUUUGCGCUCUAGAGAACACAGUAUCGGAGGCGAAUGUCCCUUGUUUUGCACUUGCGCACUGCUGUUUCUCAAUCACCCUUUCCCUUAUCACCCGCCUUUCUAUUUCAUCUCGCUCUAUCCUUCCCAAAG
rnacentral:misc_RNA from 1 species